rnacentral:rRNA from 1 species
UACGUAGGGUGCGAGCGUUGUCCGGAAUUACUGGGCGUAAAGAGCUCGUAGGUGGUUUGUCGCGUUGUCCGUGAAAACUCACAACUCAAUUGUGGGCGUGCGGGCGAUACUGGCAGACUGGAGUACUGCAGGGGAGACUGGAAUUUUUGGUGUAGCGGUGGAAUGCGCAGAUAUCAGGAGGAACACCGGUGGCGAAGGCGGGUCUCUGGGCAGUAACUGACGCUGAGGAGCGAAAGCGUGGGGAGCGAACAGG